GGAGGAUCUCCCGAGCGGCCAAAGGGGGCAGACUGUAAAUCUGUUGUCAUCGACUUCGGUGGUUCGAAUCCACCAUCCUCCACCA
rnacentral:tRNA from 1 species